CAGCGCCGCGGGAAUACGAAGGGUGCAAGCGUUACUCGGAAUUACUGGGCGUAAAGCGUGCGUAGGUGGUGGUUUAAGUCCGUUGUGAAAGCCCUGGGCUCAACCUGGGAAUUGCAGUGGAUACUGGGUCACUAGAGUGUGGUAGAGGAUAGUGGAAUUUCCGGUGUAGCAGUGAAAUGCGUAGAGAUCGGAAGGAACAUCUGUGGCGAAGGCGACUAUCUGGGCCAACACUGACACUGAGGCACGAAAGCGUGGGGAGCAAACAGGAUUAGAUACCCCUGUAGUCCCUGUCUCUUAUACC
rnacentral:rRNA from 1 species